AUACGGAGGAUGCGAGCGUUAUCCGGAUUUAUUGGGUUUAAAGGGAGCGUAGGUGGGAUAUUAAGUCAGCUGUGAAAGUUUGGGGCUCAACCUUAAAAUUGCAGUUGAUACUGGUUUCCUUGAGUACGGUACAGGUGGGCGGAAUUCGUGGUGUAGCGGUGAAAUGCUUAGAUAUCACGAAGAACUCCGAUCGCGAAGGCAACUCACCGGGGCGGAAAUGACACUGAUGCUCGAAAGUGCGGGGAACAAACAGGAUUAGAUACCCUGGGAGUCCGCACAGUAAACGAUUAAAUCUCGCUGUUUGCGAUACAAUGUAAGCGGCCAAGCGAAAGCGUUAAGUAUUCCCCCUGGGGAGUACGCCCGCAACGGUGAAACUCAAAGGAAUUGACGGGG
rnacentral:rRNA from 1 species